rnacentral:rRNA from 1 species
AAAAGCUCGUAGUUGGAUCUCAGCUCCGGCCGGACGGUCCGCCUACCGGUGGUUACUGUUCGCUGCCGAGCGUUCAGGGGGCUUCGUCCUAUGAUCUUCACCGGUUGUCGGUCGGGGCCCCCACGUUUACUUUGAAAAAAUUAGAGUGCUCAAAGCAGGCGCGACGCCUGAAUAAUUGUGCAUGGAAUAAUGGAAUAGGACCUCGGUUCUAUUUUGUUGGUUUUCGGAACACGAGGUAAUGAUUAAGAGGGACAGACGGGGGCAUUCGUAUUGCGACGCUAGAGGUGAAAUUCUUGGACCGUCGCAAGACGAACUACUGCGAAAGCAUUUGCCAAGAAUGUUUCCAUUAAUCAAGAACGAAAGUUAGAGGUUCGAAGGCGAUCAGAUACCGCCCUAGUUCUAACCAUAAACGAUGCCAGCCAGCGAUCCGGCUGUGUUCCUCAAAUGACACGCCGGGCAGCUUCCGGGAAACCAAAGCUUUUGGGUUCCGGGGGAAGUAUGGUUGCAAAGCUGAAACUUAAAGGAAUUGACGGAAGGGCACCACCAGAAAUGGAGCCUGCGGCUUAAUUUGACUCAACACGGGAAAACUUACCCGGCCCGGACACAGGAAGGAUUGACAGAUUAAGAGCUCUUUCUUGAUUCUGUGGGUGGUGGUGCAUGGCCGUUCUUAGUUGGUGGGGCGACUUGUCUGGUUAAUUCCGAUAACGAACGAGACUCUAGCCUACUAAAUAGACGUUCCCAUCCUCUUUCGUGGGACGUUCUUCUUAGAGGGACAAGCGGCGUUUAGCCGCACGAGACAGAGCAAUAACAGGUCUGGGAUGCCCUUAGAUGUCCGGGGCCGCACGCGCGCUACAUUGAAGGAAUCAGCGUGUGCUUUCCCUGUCCGAAAGGACUGGGUAACCCGUUGAACCUCCUUCGUGCUGGGGAUUGGAAUGUGUAAUUGCUUCCAUGAACGAGGAAUUCCCAGUAAGCACGAGUCAUCAGCUCGUGUUGAUUACGUCCCUGCCCUUUGUCCACACCGCCCGUCGCUACUACCGAUUGAAUGAUUUAGUGAGGUCUUCGGACUGGCGCUCGGAUUGGCCUUCGCGGUCGAGCCGGUGUGCCGGAAAGAUGACCAAACUUGAUCAUUUAGAGGAAGUAAAAGUCGUAACAAGGUUUU